rnacentral:misc_RNA from 1 species
UUUCCGUAGGUGAACCUGCGGAAGGAUCAUUACUGAGUGAGGGCCCCUCGGGGUCCAACCUCCCACCCGUGUUUAACGAACCUUGUUGCUUCGGCGGGCCCGCCUCACGGCCGCCGGGGGGCAUCUGCCCCCGGGCCCACGCCCGCCGAAGCCACCUGUGAACGCUGUCUGAAGUAUGCAGUCUGAGACAAUUAUUAAAUUAAUUAAAACUUUCAACAACGGAUCUCUUGGUUCCG